UACGUAGGGUGCAAGCGUUGUCCGGAAUUAUUGGGCGUAAAGAGCUCGUAGGCGGUCUGUCGCGUCGGCUGUGAAAACUCGAGGCUUAACCUCGAGCUGUCGGCGGAAACCAUCUGGCUAGAGUCCGGAAGAGGAGAAUGGAAUUCCCGGUGUAGCGGUGAAAUGCGCAGAUAUCGGGAAGAACACCCGUGGCGAAGGCGGUUCUCUGGGACGGUACUGACGCUGAGACGCGAAAGCGUGGGGAGCGAACAGG
rnacentral:rRNA from 1 species